GCUAUGUAGCUCAGUUGGUCAGAGCACCGCACUCAUAAUGCGGGGGUCACAGGUUCAAGUCCCGUCAUAGCC
rnacentral:tRNA from 1 species